rnacentral:rRNA from 1 species
GACGAACGCUGGCGGCGUGCUUAACACAUGCAAGUCGAACGGAAAGGCCCUGCUUUUGUGGGGUGCUCGAGUGGCGAACGGGUGAGUAACACGUGAGUAACCUGCCCUUGACUUUGGGAUAACUUCAGGAAACUGGGGCUAAUACCGGAUAGGAGCUCCUGCUGCAUGGUGGGGGUUGGAAAGUUUCGGCGGUUGGGGAUGGACUCGCGGCUUAUCAGCUUGUUGGUGGGGUAGUGGCUUACCAAGGCUUUGACGGGUAGCCGGCCUGAGAGGGUGACCGGCCACAUUGGGACUGAGAUACGGCCCAGAAUCGUACGGGAGGCAGCAGGGGGGAAUAUUGCACAAUGGGCGGAAGCCUGAUGCAGAAACGCCGCGUGCGGGAUGACGGCCUUCGGGUUGUAAACCGAUGUCGCCUGUGACGAAGAGUGAGUGACGGUAAUGGGUAAAGAAGCAACGGCUAACUACGUG